AGCAGCCGCGGUAAUUCCAGCUCCAAUAGCGUAUAUUAAAGUUGUUGCAGUUAAAAAGCUCGUAGUUGAAUUUCGGGGUUAGUACGCUGGUCGUGCCUUCGGUAUGUACUGGUGUUACUGAUUCCUACCUUCUGAAGAACCGUCAUGUCAUUAAUUUGGUGUGGCGGGGAAUCAGGACUGUUACUUUGAAAAAAUUAGAGUGUUUAAAGCAGGCUCGCGCUUGAAUACAUUAGCAUGGAAUAAUGAAAUAGGACGUUUGAUCCUAUUUUGUUGGUUUCUAGGAUUGACGUAAUGAUUAAUAGGGAUAGUUGGGGGCAUUAGUAUUCAAUUGUCAGAGGUGAAAUUCUUGGAUUUAUUGAAGACUAACUACUGCGAAAGCAUUUGCCAAGGAUGUUUUCAUUAAUCAAGAACGAAAGUUAGGGGAUCGAAGACGAUCAGAUACCGUCGUAGUCUUAACCAUAAACUAUGCCGACUAGGGAUCGGAUGAUGUUAAUUUUUUAAUGACUCAUUCGGCGCCUUA
rnacentral:rRNA from 1 species